AGAUUGAACGCUGGCGGCAUGCCUUACACAUGCAAGUCGAACGGCAGCACGGGAGCAAUCCUGGUGGCGAGUGGCGAACGGGUGAGUAAUACAUCGGAACGUGCCCAAUCGUGGGGGAUAACGCAGCGAAAGCUGUGCUAAUACCGCAUAAGAUCUACGGAUGAAAGCAGGGGAUCGCAAGACCUUGCGCGAAUGGAGCGGCCGAUGGCAGAUUAGGUAGUUGGUGAGGUAAAGGCUCACCAAGCCUUCGAUCUGUAGCUGGUCUGAGAGGACGACCAGCCACACUGGGGACUGAGACGACGGCCCAGACCUCCGUACGGGGAGCAGC
rnacentral:rRNA from 1 species